AUGAAGCCCUUCGGGGUGGAUUAGUGGCGAACGGGUGAGUAACACGUGGGCAAUCUGCCCUUCACUCUGGGACAAGCCCUGGAAACGGGGUCUAAUACCGGAUAACACUUCCGUCCUCCUGGACGGUGGUUAAAAGCUCCGGCGGUGAAGGAUGAGCCCGCGGCCUAUCAGCUUGUUGGUGAGGUAAUGGCUCACCAAGGCGACGACGGGUAGCCGGCCUGAGAGGGCGACCGGCCACACUGGGACUGAGACACGGCCCAGACUCCUACGGGAGGCAGCAGUGGGGAAUAUUGCACAAUGGGCGAAAGCCUGAUGCAGCGACGCCGCGUGAGGGAUGACGGCCUUCGGGUUGUAAACCUCUUUCAGCAGGGAAGAAGCGAAAGUGACGGUACCUGCAGAAGAAGCGCCGGCUAACUACGUGCCAGCAGCCGCGGUAAUACGUAGGGCGCAAGCGUUGUCCGGAAUUAUUGGGCGUAAAGAGCUCGUAGGCGGCUUGUCACGUCGGUUGUGAAAGCCCGGGGCUUAACCCCGGGUCUGCAGUCGAUACGGGCAGGCUAGAGUGUGGUAGGGGAGAUCGGAAUUCCUGGUGUAGCGGUGAAAUGCGCAGAUAUCAGGAGGAACACCGGUGGCGAAGGCGGAUCUCUGGGCCAUUACUGACGCUGAGGAGCGAAAGCGUGGGGAGCGAACAGGAUUAGAUACC
rnacentral:rRNA from 1 species